CAGAGAAUAGUUUAAACUUAGAAUUCUAGCUUUGGGAGUUAGAGGUGGAAGUUGGAAUCUUUCUUUUCUGG
rnacentral:tRNA from 1 species